rnacentral:lncRNA from 1 species
UUUUUAAAGUCCCCUUAAAUCUCUAUCCCUAUAAACCCUUGAUUUUUAUUUUCUUUUAUUUAUUUUUAAAUUUUUUUGGAUCGCCAAUUUAUAAUGAUCCAUAUCACCAAUCCAAUGAUAAUUGCCCAUAACUUUUCUUUGCUUUACUUUUUUUAUUUAUUUGUAUGUUAACUUUCUUUUUGCUUUAUUAUCUUCACUUUAUUUCAUAAAUAGAGUAUAGGCAGCUUUUUCAUUCCAUGACUUGGGAUUUCUUUCUUUCUUUCUUUCUUUCUUUAUCCCUUCUUUCUUUUUUCUUUUUUUUUAAAAGGUGAAGUAGGGUUAAUGGUAAACUUGAAAUUAAUUACGUGGGUGGGGUGCUUUAUUUAGAUGGAGACAAAAUUUAAUGUGCCUCCAUGGCUGAUGUCACCCAAUAAUGGCCAACUAAGAACAUCUCAUCCUUCCAAAUAAAUUAUCCAAAUAUACCUUAACAAAAGUAUUUUAAAAUAUUUAGAACAAUAAUACCCAUAAUGAAGAUUUAUAGAAUAUUGGUAGCUAAACGCCCUUAGUUUAUUGCUUUGAAACCCUAAAAUAAGCCCAUUUAAAACUCCAUAAAUUCCAAUACGCCAAAGCUUCAAAAUAAUCUCUUAUGAAAAAAACUUUGAAAUAAAUUUUAAAGAAAUUUAUCAAAAGUAUGCUUAAGCAAUAUCUCACCCAAUUUUGGAUUUAUCGUCAAAAUACCUAUCAAAUGUAAACAGUUGAAAGAAGCAAAAUGAUAAAUAGUUGAUAACUUAGACAUAUUUCGAUAAAUUAACUUAGACAUAGUUCGAUAAAUUUUUAUGACUUUUAAAGUCACAUAUGACUUAAGAAAUUUCUAGAAUAAUUAGAAUAAGGCUCGGAUGAUGAUUAAUUCUAUGAGAAAGUAUACCAUAGCCCUGUGGACCAUGUCAUUAUAUUGUCCAUGACAGUUGAAUAAAGGGAGUGAGAUCCACUUUUAAGUCAUGUCUGGAGUUCCACUUUCUUGACACCGUCGAUUGCUUCAUCGAUCGGUGAUGCCACAAAUGGACAACAUAUUUACAUAAUCCAUUGGACUAUGGAAUGAACAUAAUACUAAAAAUUGGAAUUUUUACUUUGAAAUAUUGAUACCUUGUAAUUUCCAAGUUUACAUG